AAUAAGUAUUUUUUGGCGGACACCGAGUGCAACCUGCUUGAAUUCUUCAGUGGUUUUUGUCCACACCAACAAAAUGGAUUCAACCAUAUCCUCAAGUCGUACAUACUGUUUGCUGCAACGUUGACACAUCAAAAUAGAACAGAGAUUCCGUCCAGGCAGGAGGAAACGGAACGAGUGACUUAUUCCCAAGAGGAAUCAUAGCUGUAGGAUUAGCUGUAUUUUUGCUGGCUGGGCGCUUUUUCCGUGAGAGAUUACCAUCGUGGUGAAUGCCUUUCCAGGCAUAUCGAUCAGCUAUUUCACCAAUAUGACGAAAGAAGAUGACCCGCUCUCGAUCUUUCUCACGGAUUUCUGCCUUCACCUCAGACAAUCGUUGCUUUUCACUGGCCUGCUGUUUGGUUUUUCGCCUGAUCAUUUUACCUAUACUUUUUAUUCCCUUUUUGUUUUCUUCCUAUCAAGCUCCUGGGCUGAUCAUCCUGAUAAACGUUUGCAUCCACUUUGAGUCAACCUGGAUUAUUAUCUGUUAAGUAAUAAACACUCACCUUUUAAACGAAA